rnacentral:rRNA from 1 species
GUCCACGCCGUAAACGAUGGGUGCUAGGUGUGGGGUGUCGACUCCCCCGUGCCGAAGCUAACGCAUUAAGCACCCCGCCUGGGGAGUACGGCCGCAAGGCUAAAACUCAAAGGAAUUGACGGGGCCCGCACAAGCAGCGGAGCAUGUGGUUUAAUUCGACGCAACGCGAAGAACCUUACCAAGGCUUGACAUGCACUUGAAAAACGUGGAAACACGUUCCCUCUUCGGAGCAAGUGCACAGGUGGUGCAUGGCUGUCGU